CCCACUACGCCGACGCAGCCGCACUUUCACCGCUAUAUAAACUGCCGCACUGCAUUCUCCCGUACCUCCAGUUGUUUCCUGGAUCACAGCUCUGCACCAUGUUCAGGUUUCUGGUACUGCUGGUUCUGGUGGCGCUGGCAGCGUGCGUGCUGGCGACCCACGAGCCGGGCCACACGGAGAGCGGCGGUGGCGCCUCUGGCGGCGUCCGCUACGGCGCAGGCGCGGGCAGCGUGUCCUCCGAGGGCGGGCACGGCCGGGAAGCCGGCUACGGCGACGCCUUCGGCCACGAGACGCACGGCAAGCAGUAGCCGGGAGCACCCCCGCUCACUCUGCACAGCGCCGCUGCCGCCUUCAUCACCGCCUCUCACCACAGCCGACAGUACUCAGCACAGUGACACACUACUCCUGCGUGGAAAUGCAUACCGGAGAACAUGCCAGUACAGACGCUAAAUAAUGGUAGCAGCUCUCGAGAUGUCCCACGAAAGCAGAGCAGAACACGUACCCAAAAGGACUAAUUGCCUCAGAUCAUCUCAAAAAGUAUUUGCAAUCAGAUUACAGUAAAAGUAACAUAGGCCAGAAUACCCUCGUCGUCUACUGCGUCACAUGACUGAUGUCUUCUGGAGGGUUGCCUUAUGAACAUAAGCAGCUGCCAUGUAUGUGGCGAACAAUUUCUGCAAAGACAUUUCAUGAGACACUACAACUGUGCGCCAAGUUAAAAUAGAAACUCUGCGCGAUUCAAGACCUGCACACAAUGUCUAUUUGCCAGUGCC